GACGAACGCUGGCGGCGUGCUUAACACAUGCAAGUCGAACGGAAAGGCCCUGCUUUUGUGGGGUGCUCGAGUGGCGAAAGGGUGAGUAACACGUGAGUAACCUGCCCUUGACUUUGGGAUAACUUCAGGAAACUGGGGCUAAUACCGGAUAGGAACUCCUGCUGCAUGGUGGGGGUUGGAAAGUUUCGGCGUUUGGGGAUGGACUCGCGGCUUAUCAGCUUGUUGGUGGGGUAGUGGCUUACCAAGGCUUUGACGGGUAGCCGGCCUGAGAGGGUGACCGGCCACAUUGGGACUGAGAUACGGCCCAGACUCCUACGGGAGGCAGCAGUGGGGAAUAUUGCACAAUGGGCGGAAGCCUGAUGCAGCAACGCCGCGUGCGGGAUGACUGCCUUCGGGUUGUAAACCGCUUUCGCCUGUGACGAAGCGUGAGUGACGGUAAUGGGUAAAGAAGCACCGGCUAACUACGUG
rnacentral:rRNA from 1 species